CUCAAAUUUGAAAUCUGGUCCCCUUUGGGGGCCCGAGUUGUAAUUUGAAGAGGAUGCUUUUGGCGAGGCGCCGUCCGAGUUCCCUGGAACGGGACGCCGCAGAGGGUGAGAGCCCCGUACGGUCGGACGCCGAGCCUCUGUAAAGCUCCUUCGACGAGUCGAGUAGUUUGGGAAUGCUGCUCAAAAUGGGAGGUAAACCCCUUCUAAAGCUAAAUACCGGCCAGAGACCGAUAGCGCACAAGUAGAGUGAUCGAAAGAUGAAAAGCACUUUGAAAAGAGAGUUAAAAAGCACGUGAAAUUGUUGAAAGGGAAGCGCUUGCGACCAGACUUGCGCCCGUCGGAUCAACCGUCGCUUGCGGCGGCGCACUCCGGCGGGCUCAGGCCAGCAUCAGUUCGCUCGGGGGGAGAAAGGCGGCGGGAAUGUGGCUCCUCGGAGUGUUAUAGCCCGCCGUGUAAUACCCUCGGGUGGACUGAGGACCGCGCGUAUGCAAGGAUGCUGGCGUAAUGGUCGUCAGCGACCCGUCUUGAAACACGGACCAAGGAGUCGUCCUAAUAUGCGAGUGUACGGGUGUCAAACCCCUGCGCGUAAUGAAAGUGAACGGAGGUGAGAGCUUCGGCGCAUCAUCGACCGAUCCUGAUGUUCUCGGAUGGAUUUGAGUAAGAGCAUAUUGGGCCGGACCCGAAAGAAGGUGAACUAUGCCUGUGUAGGGUAAAGCCAGAGGAAACUCUGGUGGAGGCUCGCAGCGGUUCUGACGUGCAAAUCGAUCGUCAAACAUGGGCAUGGGGGCGAAAGACUAAUCGAACCUUCUAGUAGCUGGUUUCCGCCGAAGUUUCCCUCAGGAUAGCAGUGUUGAAUUUCUCAGUUUUAUGAGGUAAAGCGAAUGAUUAGGGACUCGGGGGCGCUUUUUAGCCUUCAUCCAUUCUCAAACUUUAAAUAUGUAAGAAGCCCCUUGUUACUUC
rnacentral:rRNA from 1 species